rnacentral:rRNA from 1 species
CUACGGGGUGCUGCAGUGAGGAAUAUUGCACAAUGGGGGAAACCCUGAUGCAGCAACGCCGCGUGGAGGAUGACGCAUUUCGGUGUGUAAACUCCUUUUAUAUGUCAAGAAAAUGACGGUAGCAUAUGAAUAAGCACCGGCUAACUCCGUGCCAGCAGCCGCGGUAAUACGGAGGGGCAAGCGUUACUCGGAAUCACUGGGCGUAAAGGACGCGUAGGCUGGUCGGUAAGUCAGGUGUGAAAUCCUACAGCUUAACUGUAGAACUGCACUUGAAACUACCAACCUAGAGUAUGGGAGGGGGAGAUGGAAUUAGUGGUGUAGGGGUAAAAUCCGUAGAUAUCACUAGGGAUACCGAAAGCGAAGGCGAUCUCCUGGAACAUAACUGACGCUAAGGCGUGAAAGCGUGGGGAGCAAACAGGAUUAGAUACCCCGGUAGUC